rnacentral:rRNA from 1 species
CCUACGGGUGGCUGCAGUGAGGAAUAUUGGUCAAUGGACGAGAGUCUGAACCAGCCAAGUAGCGUGAAGGAUGACUGCCCUAUGGGUUGUAAACUUCUUUUAUAUGGGAAUAAAAUGUUCCACGUGUGCGUUUUUGUAUGUACCCUAUGAAUAAGGAUCGGCUAACUCCGUGCCAGCAGCCGCGGUAAUACGGAGGAUCCGAGCGUUAUCCGGAUUUAUUGGGUUUAAAGGGAGCGUAGGUGGAUUGUUAAGUCAGUUGUGAAAGUUUGCGGCUCAACCGUAGAAUUGCAGUGGAAACUGGCAGUCUGGAGUACAGUAGAGGUGGGCGGAAUUCGUGGUGUAGCGGUGAAAUGCUUAGAUAUCACGAAGAACUCCGAUUGCGAAGGCAGCUCACUGGACUGCAACUGACACUGAGGCUCGAAAGUGUGGGUAUCAAACAGGAUUAGAUACCCCAGUAGUC